rnacentral:misc_RNA from 1 species
UGGCCGAAGGAGCAGCACUGGAAAUGCUGUGUACCGGUAAUUCCGGUACCGCGGGUUCGAAUCCCGCCCUAUCCGCUUGUGUAUUAGAUUCUAAUCCGGGUCCCUCUGGAUAGGAGUUGGUGAACCUCCCCAGGUCCGGAAGGAAGCAAGGAUAAGCCAAACUUCCUAUGCCGGAGGGGGUGCCCGGUUUAAAAUAUUAAAAAAUUUUAACCA